ACGAACGCUGGCGGUGUGCUUAACACAUGCAAGUCGAACGGUAAGGCCCUUUCGGGGGUACACGAGUGGCGAACGGGUGAGUAACACGUGAGUAACCUGCCCUCAUCUCUGGGAUAACAGUCGGAAACGGUUGCUAAUACUGGAUAUGAGCUUGCAAGGCAUCUUGUGGGUUGGAAAGAUUUUUUUUGGUUGGGGAUGGACUCGCGGCCUAUCAGCUUGUUGGUGAGGUAGUGGCUCGCCAAGGCUUCGACGGGUAGCCGGCCUGAGAGGGCGACCGGCCACAUUGGGACUGAGAUACGGCCCAAACUCCUACGGGAGGCAGCAGUGGGGAAUAUUGCACAAUGGACGGAAGUCUGAUGCAGCAACGCCGCGUGCGGGAUGACGGCCUUCGGGUUGUAAACCGCUUUCAAUUGUGACGAAGCUUUUUUGUGACGGUAGCAGUAGAAGAAGCACCGGCUAACUACGUG
rnacentral:rRNA from 1 species